AAUCAACGCUGGCGGCGUGCCUAACACAUGCAAGUCGAACGCGAAAGGGGACUUCGGUUCCUGAGUAGAGUGGCGUACGGGUGAGUAACGCGUGGGUCAUCUGCCCUCGGGUGGGGAAUAACUAAUCGAAAGGUUAGCUAAUACCGCAUAACACAGUGAUGUCAAAGCAGCAAUGUGCCUGAGGAGGAGCCUGCGUCUGAUUAGGUAGUUGGUGGGGUAACGGCCUACCAAGCCUGCGAUCAGUAGCUGGUCUGAGAGGACGGCCAGCCACAAUGGCACUGAAACACGGGCCAUACUCCUACGGGAGGCAGCAGUGGGGAAUUUUGCGCAAGUGGGCGAAAGCCUGACGCAGCAACGCCGCGUGAGGGAU
rnacentral:rRNA from 1 species